UUCUGAGAUGCCAAUUGUUAUCAGUGUCAUACAUACAUAUAGUUUAAAGUGUUAACUUGUUUGUUUAAGAUUUGUUGAAUAACAAGCAGUUGCCUAAUCUUCCUUGGUAUUUUCUCCUUCCCAGAAGAGACUGUCUUAUAUUCUAGGCAUUAUCUGUUAGAUAGGAAGAG